rnacentral:rRNA from 1 species
AAUGAACGCUGGCGGCAGGCCUAACACAUGCAAGUAGAACGAGUGGCGGACGGGUGAGUAAUGUCUGGGAAACUGCCUGACGGAGGGGGAUAACUACUGGAAACGGUAGUAAUUACCGCAUACCUGCAGAUGUGCCCAGAUGGGAUUAGCUGGUUGGUGGGGUAACGGCUAACCAAGUCGACGAUCACAAGCUGGUCUGAGAGGUUGACCAGCCAACCGUGAACUGAGACACGGUCCAGACUCCUACGGGAGGCAGCAGUGGGGAAUAUUGCACAAUGGGCGCAAGCCUGAUGCAGCCAUGCCGCGUGUAUGAAGAAGGCCUUCGGGUUGUAAAGUACUUUCAUCGGGGAGGCGUUACCCGCAGAAGAAGCACCGGCUAACUCCGUGCCAGCAGCCGCGGUAAUAC